GUCAUCGCCCCUCUCGCGGGCGGUGCCGCCCGUCCCUUCAGGGCAGAGUUGCCCCAUAGGUGAUUUCACCUCACAAACGGGCACCAGGCAGAGCUGCCCGCAGGGAACCCAUUUCUUCAAUAUCAUUGUUUCUUUUAACAGUCACGUACACAUCAGGUGUUUCUUCCUGAGCUGUAGAUGCCCUCAAAUGGAAUAUAUUUAUAUAUAUAUACAUGAUUUGAAGGAGUUCUUCACUGUGAUGCCUCCCAUCUCUGACCCUACAGCGAAAAUCCCUUUUGAGCUCCGAGAUACCAUACUACCCUAUGAGAAGGAUGAAAAAAGCUUAUACAUGUCGUAGGAAGGACACCAUUUAUUUGUUAUCUCAGGAUUUUCUUGUUUUAUGGAGCCGCUUGUAUUUUAUAACUCAUUUACACACCAUGGUUGGAAAUGCUCAUCUAACGGCUAUGCCUUGCAGCGUGUUUGCUAAAGGCACUCAGUAAAUGCAGAAGACUGAAGAAGUGUUGUCUCCUUUGGCUUUAAUUACAAUAAAUACAGAAAUAAAAAAGUGAAUAAGUUAAGAAGUCUGAUCCUGUAAAUAGGUUGUAUGAGGAAAAGCAGGGCUAUAUUCUGAAAGAAAGAACAACCUUUCCCAGCAUAUAUAGUAAAAUAAAACAUCCAUUCUUCCAUUCAUCUUUUCUUAGCAAUAAUGUACCGUUACUCAUGGCUUGCAUUUACCUAUCAAAAGCGUAAAUGGAUUAAGCCCACAAAUACUUCCCAGAACUCCAAACUAAAUAGAAGGCUCAGGAAACAUCGGGAGGCAGCCCCAACUUCCACCAACACCGAUCAGUUCAGGAAUUUUCUGUCAAACAGCGUACAACUCGCUCAGCAAUAAAUCCACUUGCCCUUAUUUCCAAUAUCCUACCCUGUUUUACUUCCCAGGAAAACAACGACAACAACAACGAUACAUCCCCAACCCACAGAGCAAGGACAUGCACAAUGCUGGGUUUUAUCCCUCUGUUAAAACAAAUAAAACUACAAAUCAGAACGAAAGAAAAUGCUUGCAGAGUUCUCUGUCAGUUCUGUAGCCAUUUACAGACCACCACCACCAAGGGCACCUCGUUGAGAAGGCUGAAACAUCCCCGCCUUGUAAUUGUACCACAGUUGUGAAAAUAAAAUUCAUUUCCAAACAUUUCCCUAAGAUGCUGAAAAGCCUGGACCGCCAAAGCAAAAUGCACCAAGACCCCAGCAUUUCAUCUAGCUGUCUAAAAUAUUAAACUUUUCAUAUAUGCCGUAUUUGAAUGUGUCCUUCUCCAAGUGCACUUCAGAGCGCUCGCCCCACAUCAGCAACGGUAGUUCCGGCAUACUGCAAUUUCCCGAUCCCCACGGGAAUGCCUGCAAGGAUUCCAUCUGAAGGUUUAGGCGACAUCCAAAGUUAGUGGGCGCUUCAGCAGCUGAAAUAGAAAUGCUGUUCAGCUCCCCGGCCAUCUUUUCCAGACCGUGCCUCUAAUAAGAACAGUACACUUGCAUGCGUUCCUGAACUACAAUGGGACAGGCCAGUGAUUAAAGUAGUGAAGCAUAGCGCAGUAUCUCUCUGGUAACAUACAUUGUGUAUGGAAUUGAGCGUAAAGGGAAAUGAGAUGAACUUUGUACAGCUCACCUUAAUUAAGUCGUGUCCUGAUGGAAAUUAAUUUGAAUGUUAAUAGCAUGUAUAAAUGUUGUCUGAGCUUUCUCUCAGUGCCCACUUCAAGCCACUUGCACCGUCCCGGGUCUGUCAGUUCUGGGUGUUCACAUACAUUCUCCUAUUCAUCCAGCUGGCCGUCACUUUGUAUCUUGCAAGUGAUUAACAGCAAAUUCUAUGGACAAUAAGAGUUACAUCUUAGCACCUUUCCAAACAUCUGCCAGCCAGCACACCACGCUUCAGCCCCACCACAGGCUUCUGAAUUUCACGCUAUUUCAGGGGGUUCCACUGUGUUUUAUUAAAUUAAGACCGUGGAGCACCAUGUUUUUGCUGGCCCCUAGUUUUACUUUGGUUUGUAGUCCUCCUGAGCAGUGAAGGUCUGCAUGUUUGUUCCAACAAGACUUAUUUUUCUUAAUAAAUAAAUAAAU
rnacentral:lncRNA from 1 species